UACGUAGGGUGCGAGCGUUAAUCGGAAUUACUGGGCGUAAAGCGUGCGCAGGCGGUUUUGUAAGCCAGAUGUGAAAUCCCCGGGCUUAACCUGGGAAUGGCAUUUGGGACUGCAAAGCUGGAGUGCGGCAGAGGGGACUGGAAUUCAUGGUGUAGCAGUGAAAUGCGUAGAGAUCAUGAGGAAGACCAGUGGCGAAGGCGGGUCUCUGGACAGUUCCUGACACUGAGACACGAAGGCCAGGGGAGCAAACGGG
rnacentral:rRNA from 1 species